ACAUUAUUGCGCAGAUGAAACAGUCUAUGCUUCAAAUUGGCUGUAUUAAAAGAUUAAAAAAAUUAUGAAUUUUGUAACUUGAAUUUAAUGCAUAUAUAUCGGGAAUCGUUGUAAGAAAAUGGUCAAAAAUUACUCUCAGAUGCAACGUCUCUACGAGUUUUUUCAGUUGUUCGCUUAGCUUACUAAAAUGUGUUAAAACAAAAAAAACCGAAACUUUUUCCAUUUAAAUUUCUUGUUUCUUAAUGAAAGAUUUGAACUAAGUGUCACUCAAUUUUCACGUCAUGUCUGUGUAUCUACAUUAUGCACAAGAAAAAAUAGUUUUAAACUGUUUGUUUUGCGCUAACAACAUAUUUAAUUCUUGAAUAGAAACUGUUUAAAUUAUCAAGAGUUAUUUUUGUGUGUACGACUUUAUGUAAUGGAUCUUGAGCACCUCAUGUCACGUUUUUCAUUUUUCAAGAGUGUUUCAAGAAUUGAAGAAUAUUUUACAUUUGCUUCGUAAAUAGUUCCAAUUGAUGAUUUUAUUGAAAUCAAAAUCAAAGGACAUAGUAAGUGCAAGAUCUGUGCAUAGACGCCAACCCUAUUUCCACCUACGGAUAUGCAUAUAGAUUAAUGCUGUGUUGUGAUUUGUGAUUAAGUUGUCAUCAGUGAUUUGGCAUUAGAAUAAUUUCAACAAACUGCCACAUGUUUCAAAGAAUAUAAUUUGUGCAGUGUAUCGAAAAGUUAAGUUUUAUGAAUGUGAAAAACCUCAGUGGAUACGCAGUCAUGGAUACUAUCUCACGGAUACAUACUAAUGCAUACACGCAGUGCUUCAGAUGUAAUGAUUUGUAAAGAUAUGACAUGGAAAGAUUUUUGCAAGACUUCUGUAGUUUUCGAUUAUUUCAUCAAGGGUAUAUCAGACUAAUUUACCUUACAAUGUUGUCAUUAUAACUUGGAAUGUUUUUUCGAUGCUGUGGUGGAAUGUGUAAAAAUCUAUUUGUACAAUAAAUAUGUUCAACUGCGAAA